rnacentral:miRNA from 1 species
AAACUUUGAAUCUCUGGAUCCCAUGGAUAUGGGAACUGUGACAUCCAGGAGAUGCAGACAGAAUAAAAGUUU